CCUACGGGAGGCAGCAGUGGGGAAUUUUGGACAAUGGGCGCAAGCCUGAUCCAGCCAUGCCGCGUGUGGGAAGAAGGCCUUCGGGUUGUAAACCACUUUUGUCAGGGAAGAAACGGUCUGAACUAAUACUUUGGACUAAUGACGGUACCUGAAGAAUAAGCACCGGCUAACUACGUGCCAGCAGCCGCGGUAAUACGUAGGGUGCAAGCGUUAAUCGGAAUUACUGGGCGUAAAGCGUGCGCAGGCGGCUUUGCAAGACAGAUGUGAAAUCCCCGGGCUCAACCUGGGAACUGCAUUUGUGACUGCAUGGCUAGAGUACGGUAGAGGGGGAUGGAAUUCCGCGUGUAGCAGUGAAAUGCGUAGAUAUGCGGAGGAACACCGAUGGCGAAGGCAAUCCCCUGGACCUGUACUGACGCUCAUGCACGAAAGCGUGGGGAGCAAACAGGAUUAGAUACCCUGGUAGUCCACGCCCUAAACGAUGUCAACUGGUUGUUGGGAGGGUUUCUUCUCAGUAACGAAGCUAACGCGUGAAGUUGACCGCCUGGGGAGUACGGCCGCAAGGUUGAAACUCAAAUGAAUUGACCGGNUGAGAGNGCGACGGACGACGACGAGGGAGGAGG
rnacentral:rRNA from 1 species